GGCAGAAUUUAUCUAUCAGAUCAUCUCUCUCUGAUUAAAUCUACGACUUUCUCUCUGCAACUUCAGCAUCUUCACAAUUGCAUGCAUCAUCAUCGUCUUCAUCUUCACAUUCUUCAACCUUCAUCUUCAUCCUCAACAGGGAGCAAGGUUCAUCAUUAUUAUCUUUGCAUGACGGUGUUCAACGUCGAAACAUUGAUCACCUCACAGAAUCGCAAACUGCAACUACAAAGAAUGAACAACCAUAUCACGACAGAAGAAAUGCACAUCAUAAGAAGAAGCAAGACUCGACAGGAUCACUAUAUCAAGCAAGACGAAUGGAGGUUUAGAACUUGA